rnacentral:lncRNA from 1 species
GGGACUAAAGGGGGGUUUCAUUUCCCUCUUGUUUUGCAAUUACAAUUUAUAUAUAUAUUAAGUUAUUUUCCACUGGUUUUGUUAAAGAAAAAAUAAAAAUUUUACAUAUUUUGAGCAUGCAAAAAUACAUUAAAUUAGCAAGUAUAUUUAAAAUAAGUUUGAAUUAGUCAUUAAUUCUAUACUAAUUGAUUAAGUUUCUAAUGCAUCACUAUCAUCAACAACCUCUUCAAUUAAAUAAUUUCAACACGCAAAAAAUGCAAUUGAUGUAUG